rnacentral:rRNA from 1 species
UACAGAGGAGCCAAGCGUUGUCCGGAUUUACUGGGCGUAAAGGGCGCGUAGGCGGCGCGGUAAGUCACUUGUGAAAUCUCUGAGCUUAACUCAGAACGGCCAAGUGAUACUGCAGUGCUAGAGUGCAGAAGGGGCAAUCGGAAUUCUUGGUGUAGCGGUGAAAUGCGUAGAUAUCAAGAGGAACACCUGAGGUGAAGACGGGUUGCUGGGCUGACACUGACGCUGAGGCGCGGAAGCCAGGGGAGCAAACGGG